rnacentral:rRNA from 1 species
AGCGUACACGGUGGAUGCCCUGGCAGUCAGAGGCGAUGAAGGACGUGCUAAUCUGCGAUAAGCGUCGGUGAGGUGAUAUGAACCGUUAUAACCGGCGAUUUCCGAAUGGGGAAACCCAGUGUGUUUCGACACACUAUCAUUAACUGAAUCCAUAGGUUAAUGAGGCGAACCGGGGGAACUGAAACAUCUAAGUACCCCGAGGAAAAGAAAUCAACCGAGAUUCCCCCAGUAGCGGCGAGCGAACGGGGAGGAGCCCAGAGCCUGAAUCAGUGUGUGUGUUAGUGGAAGCGUCUGGAAAGGCGCGCGAUACAGGGUGACAGCCCCGUACACAAAAAUGCACAUAUUGUGAGCUCGAUGAGUAGGGCGGGACACGUGGUAUCCUGUCUGAAUAUGGGGGGACCAUCCUCCAAGGCUAAAUACUCCUGACUGACCGAUAGUGAACCAGUACCGUGAGGGAAAGGCGAAAAGAACCCCGGCGAGGGGAGUGAAAAAGAACCUGAAACCGUGUACGUACAAGCAGUGGGAGCCUCUUAAUGGGGUGACUGCGUACCUUUUGUAUAAUGGGUCAGCGACUUAUAUUCUGUAGCAAGGUUAACCGAAUAGGGGAGCCGAAGGGAAACCGAGUCUUAACUGGGCGUUAAGUUGCAGGGUAUAGACCCGAAACCCGGUGAUCUAGCCAUGGGCAGGUUGAAGGUUGGGUAACACUAACUGGAGGACCGAACCGACUAAUGUUGAAAAAUUAGCGGAUGACUUGUGGCUGGGGGUGAAAGGCCAAUCAAACCGGGAGAUAGCUGGUUCUCCCCGAAAGCUAUUUAGGUAGCGCCUCGUGAAUUCAUCUCCGGGGGUAGAGCACUGUUUCGGCAAGGGGGUCAUCCCGACUUACCAACCCGAUGCAAACUGCGAAUACCGGAGAAUGUUAUCACGGGAGACACACGGCGGGUGCUAACGUCCGUCGUGAAGAGGGAAACAACCCAGACCGCCAGCUAAGGUCCCAAAGUCAUGGUUAAGUGGGAAACGAUGUGGGAAGGCCCAGACAGCCAGGAUGUUGGCUUAGAAGCAGCCAUCAUUUAAAGAAAGCGUAAUAGCUCACUGGUCGAGUCGGCCUGCGCGGAAGAUGUAACGGGGCUAAACCAUGCACCGAAGCUGCGGCAGCGACGCUUAUGCGUUGUUGGGUAGGGGAGCGUUCUGUAAGCCUGUGAAGGUGGCCUGUGAGGGUUGCUGGAGGUAUCAGAAGUGCGAAUGCUGACAUAAGUAACGAUAAAGCGGGUGAAAAGCCCGCUCGCCGGAAGACCAAGGGUUCCUGUCCAACGUUAAUCGGGGCAGGGUGAGUCGACUCCUAAGGCGAGGCCGAAAGGCGUAGUCGAUGGGAAACAGGUUAAUAUUCCUGUACUUGGUGUUACUGCGAAGGGGGGACGGAGAAGGCUAUGUUGGCCGGGCGACGGUUGUCCCGGUUUAAGCGUGUAGGCUGGUUUUCCAGGCAAAUCCGGAAAACCAAGGCUGAGGCGUGAUGACGAGGCACUACGGUGCUGAAGUGACAAAUGCCCUGCUUCCAGGAAAAGCCUCUAAGCAUCAGGUAACAUCAAAUCGUACCCCAAACCGACACAGGUGGUCAGGUAGAGAAUACCAAGGCGCUUGAGAGAACUCGGGUGAAGGAACUAGGCAAAAUGGUGCCGUAACUUCGGGAGAAGGCACGCUGAUAUGUAGGUGAAGCGACUUGCUCGUGGAGCUGAAAUCAGUCGAAGAUACCAGCUGGCUGCAACUGUUUAUUAAAAACACAGCACUGUGCAAACACGAAAGUGGACGUAUACGGUGUGACGCCUGCCCGGUGCCGGAAGGUUAAUUGAUGGGGUUAGCGGUAACGCGAAGCUCUUGAUCGAAGCCCCGGUAAACGGCGGCCGUAACUAUAACGGUCCUAAGGUAGCGAAAUUCCUUGUCGGGUAAGUUCCGACCUGCACGAAUGGCGUAAUGAUGGCCAGGCUGUCUCCACCCGAGACUCAGUGAAAUUGAACUCGCUGUGAAGAUGCAGUGUACCCGCGGCAAGACGGAAAGACCCCGUGAACCUUUACUAUAGCUUGACACUGAACAUUGAGCCUUGAUGUGUAGGAUAGGUGGGAGGCUUUGAAGUGUGGACGCCAGUCUGCAUGGAGCCGACCUUGAAAUACCACCCUUUAAUGUUUGAUGUUCUAACGUUGGCCCGUAAUCCGGGUUGCGGACAGUGUCUGGUGGGUAGUUUGACUGGGGCGGUCUCCUCCUAAAGAGUAACGGAGGAGCACGAAGGUUGGCUAAUCCUGGUCGGACAUCAGGAGGUUAGUGCAAUGGCAUAAGCCAGCUUGACUGCGAGCGUGACGGCGCGAGCAGGUGCGAAAGCAGGUCAUAGUGAUCCGGUGGUUCUGAAUGGAAGGGCCAUCGCUCAACGGAUAAAAGGUACUCCGGGGAUAACAGGCUGAUACCGCCCAAGAGUUCAUAUCGACGGCGGUGUUUGGCACCUCGAUGUCGGCUCAUCACAUCCUGGGGCUGAAGUAGGUCCCAAGGGUAUGGCUGUUCGCCAUUUAAAGUGGUACGCGAGCUGGGUUUAGAACGUCGUGAGACAGUUCGGUCCCUAUCUGCCGUGGGCGCUGGAGAACUGAGGGGGGCUGCUCCUAGUACGAGAGGACCGGAGUGGACGCAUCACUGGUGUUCGGGUUGUCAUGCCAAUGGCACUGCCCGGUAGCUAAAUGCGGAAGAGAUAAGUGCUGAAAGCAUCUAAGCACGAAACUUGCCCCGAGAUGAGUUCU